ACUUGACAACUUUUAAAAGCUUGUUAUUUAAAAUGCUUAGCAAUUGAAAGCAAAGUAAUAACUGCUAUUUAUAAAACCGCCUCAGCAGAAUCUGUUUUUAUGUUGACUGUUUUACGUUGACUGUUUUCCCCCACAACAUGUAUGUGCCGCUUAUUAUUACAGAUUUGCUCAUGGCAUACUUUUCAUGUUUUAAUUUUUUUCUUCCAGGAAAACAAACAUUGAGCCUCUAAAAAUAGAGGAAGUAUAAAGUAGUACGGCUGUUGCAAGGAUAUUUUUAAAUGCUUUCAAAUCUGAGACUUGGCUUGGCUUCGAGAAUGAGCUUCUAGUGUUUAAGUAUUUUGUAAUUAGCACUCCUCCAACCGCUUGGGAAAUAAAAAGUCCAGAGUCUAGCUUUCCUCCGAGUGCCAGAAAGGCAAAGAGAGCCCAGGACCAGCUCAGCAACUAAUUGUGGCAAAAAUAGACACACGCUCUGCAAGGUUUUCCAGGAAAGUCCGCUAAGCGCAGCAUUUGCGACCCUGACUGCCCCUACUCCCACUCCCUGGGACUCACUGUUUUUAGAGCAGAAAAAAAUCUAUAUUCGUUUAGUUUAUUUAAAAGUAAAACCCAAGUCCAAGCGGCAUCCCUAGGACCCCCGAUGAAAAGUUCAAACUGUAUUCAGUUAAUUGUAUGUUUUUAUUGUCGAUUGUUCGCGUUGUAAUGUUUGAAAACAUCCAAGGGUUCGCUCUACGGUGGCUAGAACAGCAGUUACCUCCCAAAUGCUGACAUCCUGGGAUUUGCUUCCAUUUUAUUUGUAAUGAGAUAACUGACCCAGAUCAUCUGUGUAAUGUGAUGUAAACCAUACCUCUCUCCUACCCUCCACGGACACACAACAUGCCAAUCCCCAACCAGUGAAGAAUGGGGCUUAUUGGUGGUUGUUGGUGCUGUUGUUAUUUGUUGUUGUUGUUAUUUAAUUGCUUAGUUAAAGCUCAAUCAAAUGUCCUUCCUAAAAUCACAUCAUUCCACUGGUGAGAAAACACAGUAUUUAUACGUGUUUUAACGAUGCUGUGUAGAAACACACCUCAGAGAACCAUCUUGUGGGUUUUCUUUACUCUUACUGACCGAAUCUCAGAGGACAUGACGACAGUGCAACAUUAAUAAACUAUCUUUGCCUUUGAUUAUUCUGUUCAUUUUUAUUUAAGCUAUAAAGGAUCAUAUAAGAAAAUAAACAUUUGUGUUGGCCAAUAACAUUCUUUCUCAUCUUACAAGAAGAAGAUUCUUUCAUAAAUUUAUCGGUUGGCUCUGUUUGGUUCUACUAACAUGUAGCAACACUUCAGGCCUUUUAAGACCAGAAAGAUUUGGCCGAGAAAUAUCAAGAUUCAGUAUUGUAAUGUUAAUUGUUAAAUCAUUAUUUAAUAGAAACUCUUCAAAGUCCUGGGAGAGCAUGCAUUGUAGGUGCACAUGCUUUAGGAUUUCCACCCAGGUUUCAGAGUUCAACACUGACCCUGUUUAUCUUUGGCAUUUAAUCUCAAUGAUUCUUUAUCAACUUUCCUGCUAAAAGAGAAAAAGAAUUGCAAGGCCAAGCCUCUCUCCACCUUCAUUGUACUCCAGUGCCAGAAAAGUGAGGUUGCUGAAAUAUAUUGCAGACCCUCAGAGAUGGAAGUGAAAAACCAAACAGUCUUGAAUUAUAAGAAAAGAAGAGACUGUUGUUCUAAUUUCGGACUUUGCUUUUUACUUGGUGGACAUUCUGAUCCACUCUCAGAAACAUCUGAUUUGGGGUUACACCAGGCAGCUGGAGGAUGUUUAUAACUCUGAGGCUUCAAAUAACUUUCCAUAUCAUGAGAGUAACUUUAAACAAUGUUUGAAUAAUCAACUGCUACAGCCAUAUAUUUCAUGGGUGUCCAUCCUCCGGAUCUUUCUUUCUAGAUGAUUUUAUAAGAAUAUUUUCUCUGAACUAUUUAUAUUUAUAGUAUUUUGCUGUGAAUGACCUUUGUAUUUUAUUAUAAACAUUAAAUUGUGUACAACUUUAUCUUAA
rnacentral:lncRNA from 1 species